CAGCCGCCACGGUAAUACGUAGGUGGCAAGCGUUGUCCGGAAUUAUUGGGCGUAAAGGGCUCGCAGGCGGUUUCUUAAGUCUGAUGUGAAAGCCCCCGGCUCAACCGGGGAGGGUCAUUGGAAACUGGGAGACUUGAGUGCAGAAGAGGAGAGUGGAACUCCACGUGUAGCGGUGAAAUGCGUAGGGAUGUGGAGGAACACCAGUGGCGAAGGCGACUCUCUGGUCUGUAACUGACGCUGAGGAGCGAAAGCGUGGGGAGCGAACAGGAUUAGAUACCCGUGUAGUCCCUGUCUCUUAUAC
rnacentral:rRNA from 1 species